rnacentral:piRNA from 1 species
UGGGCCUGUGUCUUGUGUUUAC